UACGGAGGGUGCAAGCGUUAUCCGGAUUCACUGGGUUUAAAGGGUGCGCAGGUGGGCUGGUAAGUUCGAUGUGAAAGCCCCGGGCUUAACCCGGGAAUGGCAUUGGAUACUACUGGUCUGGAGGAUCGGAGGGGGGACUGGAAUUCUUGGUGUAGCAGUGAAAUGCGUAGAUAUCAAGAGGAACACCAGUGGCGAAGGCGGCUCUCUGGACCGAUACUGACGCUGAGGCGCGAAAGCGUGGGGAGCAAACAGG
rnacentral:rRNA from 1 species